UAUUCCUCUAUAGACAUAAAACAAACAUGAAACCAAAGCAAUAAAUAAGACUGGAAAUAUAUGUUGCUCUAUCUCCUUUCAUCAGUAUUUUGGUUUAAGUUGUAUGCAAGCAGAUUUUUGAAAUAUCAUAGAAUGGCCUGACUUUUAUAAUUACAGUAAGCAUUACAUUGUAAAGCUGGACUUCCAUGUGUUUGUAUUUAAAAAGAGGCUUUUUUAAUGUAUUAUGCAUUCUUUGUAGAUGUCAUACAGUGUCUGACAAAAAAAGUUGCAAUAUCAUCAACAGACAAUCGAACUGUUCAACUGAUGCCAGAUCAGAAGGUUGGUCAGUCUGUAAUACACAUAAGUGAUGUUGUUCGGUACCCCAGAAAAUGCUGCUGAUUAGAAAAUGGAAGUACAUACUGCUAGCCUUGGCAGAUGUCUUUGCUCCUCUGGUCCAUAAAUUCCUGGCGGGCGAAGAACACAUGUAUGCAGUGCUCCACCUCCUGGGAAAAUUGAGACGAUUCAAACCACGUAACGGAAAAAUCAGGAGCCAAGUUUUUAAGACAUCACGACUGGUCUGUAUUCUAGAGUUUGUUCUCUUGUUGCACUGCCUCAGAGAAAUAGUAUUCGGUAUAUUGUAUUAUUCAAAAUGCCAGGCUUUUUUGGGGGGGGAGGGGGGGAAAGAAGAAUGUAAACAAAGAAGAAAAGUGAAAAAAUAAUACAACCCAAAUACCUUUUCUAUAGGAAAAUAUGGCACAGUUUCCUCAUCACCAUCUUCAAUAGGAAGCCCUCCAAACACCACAUUUACUGUACUGGUGUAUAUCAAUCUAGUGAUGUUCCUUUGUUUGCAAGCUGCAGCAAUAUAUAAAGUAAAGUAGUUCAGUGGAAGCUUGAACAAAAUAGAAAAAAACCUGUAUGAAAGGGAGGUGCUUCUUGACAGAAACUUGUUAGAUUUUCUGGCAAAUCUUAGAAUAGCAAAUCCAUUUUAUUAUUGGAUUAUUUAAGACACAAAGUAUAUGGAAGACAACAGUUAAAUAGAAAAUAUCUGUUCAGAACCAAGUGCUUUAUUAUUCUGCAUCUCCUAAUUUAGGUAAUGUAAGCUAACAGUAUGCCUUUGGGCUGGCUGCUACCAGCCUGGUAGAGGGCUGCAGCCCCAGCCGGGUAGGUAGCUGGAAGACUUUCUGUUCCAAGGGCUGCCCACGACCUGUGCACACACUGUAAUGCAGCAGUGAGGCUUACAGCAUGGAAAGCUGUUCAUGUCUUACAUGCAUACAGACUCUGCCAUAAUGUCAGACAUGAUUAUGACAAGCUGAAGUAGUUGACCUGUAGUGCUGACACUAAUAUCUCGCCCCAGGUAUGAAAAGACCAUUGACGUUUCCUCAUCUUCUGUCAAAACUGUGAUGUAUUUGGUAAAAAAAAAGCAGUUCAUGACAACCAAGUAGGUUUUUUUUCCUAAAUGGCUUCAUACUUUGAUAUGCCACACCAACACCUACCAGCAGGGUUACAUACAUACCAUCAAUGAUGAAUCUUGUCCCAUCGAUGUUUACUGUUUCAAUCUCUUCUUUGUGCAACUGGGAAAAUAAAGUGGUGCCCUUUUGAGUAAUGAUACAUUCUAAAUUCCAUAGGUGGACACUGUAAGUGUCCAUAGAUAAAAGUAAUGAGUGCUUUGAUUAAAAAAAAAAAAUAUAUAUAUAUAUAUAUAUGUAUAGA